rnacentral:rRNA from 1 species
AAUGAACGCUGGCGGCAGGCCUAACACAUGCAAGUCGAACGGAUCCUUCGGGAUUAGUGGCGGACGGGUGAGUAACGCGUGGGAACAUACCCCUUGGUACGGAAUAGCCUCGGGAAACUGGGAGUAAUACCGUAUGUGGUCGAGAGACGAAAGAUUUAUCGCCAAAGGAUUGGUCCGCGUUGGAUUAGGUAGUUGGUGGGGUAAUGGCCUACCAAGCCGACGAUCCAUAGCUGGUUUGAGAGGAUGAUCAGCCACGCUGGGACUGAGACACGGCCCAGACUCCUACGGGAGGCAGCAGUGGGGAAUCUUAGACAAUGGGGGAAACCCUGAUCUAGCCAUGCCGCGUGAUCGAUGAAGGCCUUAGGGUUGUAAAGAUCUUUCAGGUGGGAAGAUAAUGACUGUACCACCAGAAGAAGCCCCGGCUAACUCCGUGCCAGCCGCCGCAGUAAAAC